GGACCUUACCUACCCUUGACAUGUCAGAAAGUUUCCAGAGAUGGAUUUGUGCCCGAAAGGGAACCGUAACACAGGUGCUGCAUGGCUGUCGUCAGCUCGUGUCGUGAGAUGUUGGGUUAAGUCCCGCAACGAGCGCAACCCUUGUCAUUAAUUGCCAUCAUUUAGUUGGGCACUUUAAUGAGACUGCCGGUGACAAACCGGAGGAAGGUGGGGAUGACGUCAAGUCCUCAUGGCCCUUAUGGGUAGGGCUACACACGUCAUACAAUGGCCGGUACAGAGGGUCGCCAACCCGCGAGGGGGAGCCAAUCCCAGAAAGCCGAUCGUAGUCCGGAUUGUAGUCUGCAACUCGACUGCAUGAAGUCGGAAUCGCUAGUAAU
rnacentral:rRNA from 1 species